UACAGAGACUGCAAGCGUUAUUCGGAUUCACUGGGCGUAAAGGGUGCGCAGGCGGCCAAGUGUGUUAGGCGUGAAAGCCCGGGGCUUAACCCCGGAAUUGCACCUCAAACUACACGGCUAGAGCAUUGGAGAGGGUAGCAGAAUUCAUGGUGUAGCAGUGAAAUGCGUAGAUAUCAUGAGGAAUACCAGAGGCGAAGGCGGCUACCUGGACAAUUGCUGACGCUCAGGCACGAAAGCGUGGGGAGCAAAAGGG
rnacentral:rRNA from 1 species